UAUACAUCAUGACUAUUAAACCGUAGUCUGGUACUAAUUCAAAAGCAGAAAGAAGAGGGAACUGUGAAAACCUUGUCACAUCAAACACACCAGACAACAGCUAGCAACAACGGCAGAGCACAAGGGUCUCCUGGAUUUACCUCUUCGCAAAGGAGACAAUUUUAUUCACGAGAAGACUGAGGGCAGAGAGAAAACGGGCCGCUGCAGCAAAGUCGAGUCUGUGGAGUAUAAAACUUUAAAAGUCCGGGACUAACAGACAGCAACAUGGAUAUUUGUGAGAUCACACACUGAUGUUGGACGAGAAGGCCUGGCUCACUGUCUACUCGAAAUUAACCCAGAGGUGCUCUAUCGGGGUGCAGAGACAUGUUAGUACAGGAAGGCAGAGGUGGGACCAAGCCAUUGCUUUGCAAGUCACAAGUAAGUCUUAAGUCUUUACCCUCAUGUCCCGAGUCAAGUUACGAGUCAAGACAAGCUAGUCCCGAGUCAAGUCACAAGUCCUACACUUUGAGUUUCGAGUCCUCUCAAGUCAUUUUAACAUCCAUCCAUCCAUUUCCCGUACCGCUUAUCCUCACUAGGGUCGCGGGCGUGCUGGAGCCUAUCCCAGCUAUCUUUGGACGAGAGGCGGGGUAUACCGUGAACUGGUUGCCAGCCAAUCGCGAGUCAUUGCUGUUCCAGUCCAAGUCGAGUUGCAAGUCUUGUGACAUUUUGUCAAGUCGAGUCUAAAGUCAUCAUAUCUAUGACUCGAGUCUGACUCGAGUCUAAGUCAUGUGACUCAAAUCCACACUUCUCCAGGAAACUAUUUGAUUGUCCAAAAUCUCUUGGUAUGCUGAAGCACUCAGAGUUUCUGUCAAUGGAGCUCUGGGGCUAACAUUUUGGACAUUUUCAACUCUGUGGGAACAGUUUGAAGAUGCCCUCUUCCUGUUCCAACAUGACUGUGCAUCAGUGCACAAAUCAAGGUUCAUAAUGACAUGGAUGUGAGAAUUUUAUGUGGAUGAACUUGAGCCAGGCCUUCUCGUCCAACAUCAGUGUGUGACCUCACAAAUGGUCAAAAACUUCCAUAAACACACUCCUAAACCUUAUGGAAAACCUUCCCAGAAGAGUUUAAACUGUUAUGCUGUAACUGCAGAGGGUGGACCAAUGUCAUAUUCAGCCCUCUGGAUUAAGAAUGGAAUGUCACUUAAAUUUAUAUCUGAGUCAAGACAGGUUGAGCGAUUACUCUUGGCAUCAUCAACCUUGUAAAGCCUGCUACAGUGUAUCAUUAAUAGUUUUCUUCUUUAAUA